rnacentral:rRNA from 1 species
GAUGAACGCUGGCGGCGUGCCUAAUACAUGCGAGUCGAGCGAACAGACGAGGAGCUUGCUCCUUCGACGUUAGCGGCGGACGGGUGAGUAACACGUAGGUAACCUACCUAUAAGACUGGGAUAACUUCGGGAAACCGGAGCUAAUACCGGAUAAUAUUUCGAACCGCAUGGUUCGAUAGUGAAAGAUGGCUUUGCUAUCACUUAUAGAUGGACCUGCGCCGUAUUAGCUAGUUGGUAAGGUAACGGCUUACCAAGGCAACGAUACGUAGCCGACCUGAGAGGGUGAUCGGCCAACCGGGAACUGAGACCCGGGCCAGACUCCUACGGGAGGCAGCAGGAGGGAAACUUCCGAAAUGGGCGAAAGCCUGACGGAGCAACCCCGGGGGGGUGAAGAAGGUUUUCGGUUCGUAAAACUUUGUUAUUAGGGAAAAACAGACGUGUAAGUAACUGUGCCCGUUUUGACGGUACCUAAGAAGAAAGCCACGGCUAACUACGU